rnacentral:rRNA from 1 species
UCGGGAAUAUUGCGCAAUGGAGGAAACUCUGACACAGUGACGCCGCGUAUAGGAAGAAGUUUUUCGGAAUGUAAACUAUUGUCGUUAGGGAAGAGAAAGGACAGUACCUAAGGAGGAAGCUCCGGCUAACUACGUGCC